AGUGAACGCUGGCGGUAGGCCUAACACAUGCAAGUCGAACGGCAGCACAGUAAGAGCUUGCUCUUACGGGUGGCGAGUGGCGGACGGGUGAGGAAUACAUCGGAAUCUACUUUUUCGUGGGGGAUAACGUAGGGAAACUUACGCUAAUACCGCAUACGACCUACGGGUGAAGGCAGGGGAUCUUCGGACCUUGCGCGAUUGAAUGAGCCGAUGUCGGAUUAGCUAGUUGGCGGGGUAAAGGCCCACCAAGGCGACGAUCCGUAGCUGGUCUGAGAGGAUGAUCAGCCACACUGGAACUGAGACACGGUCCAGACUCCUACGGGAGGCAGCAGUGGGGAAUAUUGGACAAUGGGCGCAAGCCUGAUCCAGCCAUACCGCGUGGGUGAAGAAGGCCUUCGGGUUGUAAAGCCCUUUUGUUGGGAAAGAAAAGCAGCAGGUUAAUACCCCGCUGUUCUGACGGUACCCAAAGAAUAAGCAUCGGCUAACUUCGUG
rnacentral:rRNA from 1 species